rnacentral:rRNA from 1 species
AGGCAUUGGUGGGAUACUACCCUAAUUGUAUUGGAUUUCUAACCCGCAGCACUUAUCGUGCUGGGAGACAGUGUCAGGCGGGCAGUUUGACUGGGGCGGUCGCCUCCUAAAGAGUAACGGAGGCGCUCAAAGGUUCCCUCAGAAUGGUUGGAAAUCAUUCAUAGAGUGUAAAGGCAUAAGGGAGCUUGACUGCGAGACCUACAAGUCGAGCAGGGUCGAAAGACGGACUUAGUGAUCCGGUGGUUCCGCAUGGAAGGGCCAUCGCUCAACGGAUAAAAGCUACCCCGGGGAUAACAGGCUUAUCUCCCCCAAGAGUUCACAUCGACGGGGAGGUUUGGCACCUCGAUGUCGGCUCAUCGCAUCCUGGGGCUGUAGUCGGUCCCAAGGGUUGGGCUGUUCGCCCAUUAAAGCGGUACGCGAGCUGGGUUCAGAACGUCGUGAGACAGUUCGGUCCCUAUCCGUCGUGGGCGUAGGAAAUUUGAGAGGAGCUGUCCUUAGUACGAGAGGACCGGGAUGGACAUACCUCUGGUGUACCAGUUGUCGUGCCAACGGCAUAGCUGGGUAGCUAUGUAUGGACGGGAUAAGUGCUGAAAGCAUCUAAGCAUGAAGCCCCCCUCGAGAUGAGAUUUCCCAACUUCGGUUAUAAG